UGUAGAGGAGACUCCAGAGAACUCUCCUGCCUUCUGCCAUCUGAAGACACAGUAGGAAAAAGGACAUCUGUAAACCAGCAAACCAUUCAAAGAGAAUGGAUUUCAGUUUGACUCAAGGAGUUGCCUGGCUGUGAAAUGGACUACAGUAAUGAUAGUCACAGAAGAUGGUUCAAGAAGAGAUUGGACAAACCAACUGAAGGAGACAUCGUGAAGAAGACUUGAAUACCAGGUAGGCUCUAUAGUCAGCACAGAAUGUUCAGCACGGUCCAAGAAAAUCACUGUAUACUGGACCUUUAGGAUGGUGAACCGAGGAGCUGCGAGGCUGGGGUGCUUCCUGGAAGAAUGAGAGCUAAGCUCAAAGCCAGGCUUCUGCUCCUCGAUGCUACAUGUUCAAAUAAAAAAGUAUACCCCUGGCCU